CCACCUACGGGACGCAGCAGUGGGGAAUAUUGCACAAUGGGGGAAACCCUGAUGCAGCAACGCCGCGUGAGUGAAGAAGUAUUUCGGUAUGUAAAGCUCUAUCAGCAGGGAAGAAGAUGACGGUACCUGAGUAAGAAGCCCCGGCUAACUACGUGCCAGCGGCCGCGGUAAUACGUAGGGGGCAAGCGUUAUCCGGAUUCACUGGGCGUAAAGGGAGCGCAGGCGGCACGGCAAGUCUGAUGUGAAAACCCGGGGCUCAACCCCGGGACUGCAUUGGAAACUGCCGGGCUGGAGUGUCGGAGGGG
rnacentral:rRNA from 1 species